AUGGAAAACAAGGACCCGCAGGGACAGGGACCCCGGCGUCUGGCCCCACGGAAAACAAGGACCCGCAGGGACAGGGACCCCGGCGUCCGGCCCCACGGCCAGGAGGACCCGCAGGGACAGGGACCCCGGUGUCUGGCCCCAUGGAAACAAGGACCCGCAGGGACAGGGACCCCGGCGUCUGGCCCCACAGAAAACAAGGACCCGCAGGGACGAGGACCCCGGCGUCCGGCCCCACGGCCAGGAGGACCCGCAGGGACAGGGACCCCGGCGUCUGGCCCCACGGACCCCCGGCGUCCGGCCCCUCGGCCAGGAGGACCCGCAGGGACAGGGACCCCGGCGUCUGGCCCCACGGAAAACAAGGACCCGCAGGGACAGGGACCCCGGCGUCUGGCCCCCACGGAAAACAAGGACCCGCAGGGACGAGGACCCCGGCGUCCGGCCCCACGGCCAGGAGGACCCGCAGGGACAGGGACCCCGGCGUCUGGCCCCACGGACCCCGGCGUCCGGCCCCUCGGCCAGGAGGACCCGCAGGGACAGGGACCCCGGCGUCUGGCCCCACGGAAAACAAGGACCCGCAGGGACGAGGACCCCGGCGUCCGGCCCCACGGCCAGGAGGACCCGCAGGGACAGGGACCCCGGCGUCUGGCCCCACGGACCCCGGCGUCCGGCCCCACGGCCAGGAGGACCCGCAGGGACGAGGACCCCGGUGUCUGGCCCCACGGACCCCGGCGUCCGGCCCCACGGCCAGGAGGACCCGUCCCCACCUGCUGCAGUAGCUGCAUGCGCAGCGCCCGGUCAGGGGAGGAGAAGAGGCGGACGAUGACCGGGACGAUGCGCUCCUGGUACUCGGGGGGGUCCAGCACCUUCGCCACCUGCGGGGAUGGGGACGGGUGAUGCCGGGGGGUGACGCCGGGGUGGGGGGGGACACGGGGGCGGGGGAGGACCCCCACCUUGAGGAGGGGGGGCAGGGCGCUGGCGUCGGCGCUGCCGAACUCGAGGGCCGCCAGCAGCCGGGGCAGCAGCUUGUGGCGGCGGAAGGGGCCGGGGAGGGCGUCCAGGCGGCCGCUCAGCUCCUGCAGGAAGGUCCGGCGCUCCGAGGCAUCCCGGACCUGGGGGGGGCCGGGGAGGGCGUCAGGGGGUGGGGGGGACAGGGACAGGGAGGGGGAGAGGGAUGGGGGCACAGG
rnacentral:lncRNA from 1 species